GUGGGCAGCACGCCAGAUUCAUGACCCUCUCUUGAAAAUGUCACGUUUAAAACCCAUUUCUCUUCUCUCUCUGCAAAUCUAAAACCCUGGAGAGAGAGAGAGAGAGACCCUUCGUCUUCUUGCUCUCUACGAAACCGCACACAGAGACCUCUCCCAAUUUCCACAAAGAUGAACAACCUCAUCAAGCUCAGCUCCCUCAACGCCUUGAGAUCCCUCCGCCAUUCUCAGCCGUCGGCGACGGCGACUGCGGCUCUCCGGACCCUCACCACCAGCUCGUCGCCCCUCGGCAACCGCUCGCUCGUGCCCGCUCCGUCUUCCUCGAUCGUUCCCGGCGCGCAGAGUUUUCUCGGCGUUCGACAUUUCCGUGGCAGCAUCAACAGCGAUUCCAAGAACCAUGAGAUUGCUCCACCAAUCAACUGGGGAAUUCGGAUUGUGCCGGAACGUAUGGCUUUUGUGAUUGAGCGGUUUGGGAAGUACCACACGACUCUGCAGUCUGGGAUCCAUUUUCUGAUUCCGUUUGUCGACAGAAUUGCUUUCGUGCAUUCGUUGAAAGAGGAGGUCUUUAAUGUGCCAGACCAGGCAGCUAUCACCCAAGACAAUGUCAGGAUUCAGGUUGAUGGGGUUAUUUACCUGAAGAUUGAGGACCCCCACCUGGCCUCCUAUGGAUCUGUGCGUCCUUUUGAUGCAGCUAUUCAGCUUGCUCAGGGGAUCAUGCGUACAGCAAUUGCGAAACUUACUCUUGACAAUGCAUUCAAGGAAAGAGAAAACCUCAAUGAUGAGAUAGUGAGGGUAGUCAACGAAGCUGCAACAGCAUAUGGCUUGAGGUGCAUCCGAUAUGUGAUAAGGGACAUAACUCCUCCUCUUGCGGUGAGGCAAUCUAUGGAAAUGCAAGCAGAUGCAGAACGCAAAAAGAGAGUUAAAAUUCUUGUGUCUGAAGGUGAAAGGGAUGCCGCCAUUAACCAAGCAGAAGGGGAGAGGCGUGCUGCAUUUUUAGCUGCAGAAGGAGAACUUGCUAAAGCAGAUGCGGCUUCUAAAGGAAUUUCCCUUGUAUCAAAGAGUCUUAUGGAAGCUGGGGGUAUAGAGGCUGCUGGUUUGAAAGUCGCUGAGCAGUAUGUCAUUGCAUUCGGAAAUCUGGCGAAACAGGGCACCUCAACAGUGUUUCUUCCCAAUGAUGCUACUGGUGUCUCCUCCAUGAUUUCUCAAGCCAUUUCUCUUUAUAAAAGGUUGGGUGGGGAUCCAACCACUGGAUCAACUGGAGGCUUUAAGGCUGAUACUCCCUCGAAAGAAUCUCAGCAUGCAACUAAGUUGAUUGAGGAAACAGUUGAUGGAGAUAAGGCUUCAAAGUUUUCCCUUCAAAACCAGAAGGUGCCUGAUGAACUUGGGUUUUCUCUUCAAAACCGCAAGUAGAAUAGAGACAUCAUCAUUAUCAGUAGUCCUAAUGCUCAACUUCUCGUGAAUCCACCACUCCUCGCUGCACUCCUUGUGCCAUGGAGAUUAGCAUUAGCGUGUCUGCAAUACCAUGAUGAUCAUCAAAACUAUCAUUUCCACCGGUAGCAGCACCACCAUCUCCCUCAGCAUUGCCUCGCUUGCACUCACUGCCCUUCUUAGCCACCAAUUGGCUGAGUUCAACCAUAGCCUGCUUGAUUUCCAAAGCCAUUCGGUCAACUUUCACAUAAUUUCCCUUUGCUGUGUUGUGGGAAGUUUCACGAUCUCGGCAAGCCUUUCAGGCUUAUUCUUCUUGAAAUGCCCCUUAUUGGGAGAAUGGGCAGAUUGGAUUAGGAUCGGGAAAGGGGUUCAUGUAGUUGGUCAAGUCGAGUUGGCGGGCUUCUCAAGGCUGCAGGGACAUGCUGGCCGAUGAGAUUUUCACCUCUGGGAACGUACUCAAUUACUUGCCUUGGAUGCAUUCAAAAGCCUAUAAUAUACACUAGGGGAAUGAGCUUGACUGAUCGAUACAAAUUGGCAAUGCAUUUCAGGUGGAGUAGAAGUAGCCCUUGGUAUGAUUGUUUGGGAUCCAUAUGAAGAGUCUAGUGGAAGCAAAGAUCGUGAAGUGUUGGUGGGAGCAAACAAAGCAGACUGGGAAUUUGAUUUUCCUUGUUGAUUUAAAUGAGUUGGAUGCUGACCGAUUGGAACAGUUUGUGUUCAUUCGGUGGAUUUGAUCUUGUAGUUGGUGGGAUCCCCUGCAAUAAUCCAACAGCCAGUAUUCACAAAGUUUAUUUGCGGAUUGUAGUUGUUGGAUAUCAUAGAACAAGGCUCCGUGCAGAUGCAGUAAAACUCCAUUGCGCAGAUGACUCUCCAAAAUUGCCAUUAUUCCUUAAGGUUACUUCCACAACAAAGAAACAAGUGAUUGUCUCUAAUGGGUUACCUCACCUAAGCAAUCGGAUAUGGAGUUCCUUCACCUACUAAACUAGCAGUCUUGGCUCCUGGCAGUAACAAUUGUUGUGUAAUUUAGUUGACAAUUCUGAUCUAAUCUAGUUCCACUAGUGUGUUUAAAAGUGGAAUAAGUUUAAAUGGAAAACUUUUCUAGUUAUAUCCAACGAACUUCUCCUUUCAGUUUAAUUGCUACAUCUUUUCGUAGACUA